UCUAGGUCACAACUAUCACCUGGAGUGGAACGGGCAUCCUCCAUUGCAUUCUCUUGUGGGGAAGGGAAUUUGUAUCCAAGAGGAGUGAUUUAUAAAGAAGAUGGAGGCAUUGCUAUGCGAAUUGAAAGUGCUGACUAGUACAUUCAGUGGCAGAAGUUACAUCAGCUCCACCUCAGAUCAUCAGGCAUUAUCCUGGAGUUUGAAGACACCUGCCCUAGAUCACAGAUAAAGGAGUAGUGACCUGGUUCAGAGAAAGCCCUCAGUCUGUAUAAAUGGUUUAUUUUUCCCCUUUCUUUUUGGGUGUGUGUGCUUUACUAGUGAGAUUUAGGUGAAACAGGUACAGAGAAAGUUCAAUCUCUG
ensembl:lncRNA